CUUAGAUCAGAAGCGAGAAUGUUGACAUGAGUAGCGACAAACAGGGUGAGAAACCCUGUCGCCGAAAGUCCAAGGGUUCCUGCUUAAAGCUAAUCUGAGCAGGGUAAGCCGGCCCCUAAGGCGAGGCCGAAGGCGUAGUCGAUGGGAACCAGGUUAAUAUUCCUGGGCCAGCGGGAUGUGACGGAUCGCAGAUGUAGUUUGCCCUUAUCGGAUUGGGUGGGCUGCUGAGCGGUUCCAGGAAAUAGCCCCACAUCAGACCGUACCCUAAACCGACACAGGUGGACUGGUAGAGUAUACCAAGGCGCUUGAGAGAACCACGUUAAAGGAACUCGGCAAAAUGCCUCCGUAAGUUCGCGAGAAGGAGGCCCCAUAUGUACGCAAGUAUGUGUGGGGGGCACAAACUAGGGGGUGGCGACUGUUUACUUAAAACACAGGGCUGUGCGAAGCCGUAAGGCGACGUAUACAGUCUGACGCCUGCCCGGUGCUGGAAGAUUAAGAGGAGGGGUGCAAGCUCUGAAUUGAAGUCCCAGUAAACGGCGGCCGUAACAAUAACGGUCCUAAGGUAGCGAAAUUCCUUGUCGGGUAAGUUCCGACCUGCACGAAUGGCGUAACGAUCUCCCCGCUGUCUCUAACGUGGACUCAGCGAAAUUGAGCUGUGUGUCAAGAUGCACACUACCCGCGGUUAGACGGAAAGACCCCAUGAACCUUUACUCCAGCUUUGCACUGGUAUCAGGAUUGUGAUGUGCAGGAUAGGUGGUAGGCAUUGAAGCGGGGACGCCAGUCUUCGUGGAGCCUCCCUUGAGAUACCACCCUUCGCCAUCUUGAUAUCUAACCGCGGCCCGUUAUCCGGGUCCGGGACCCUGCAUGGUGGGGAGUUUGACUGGGGCGGUCGCCUCCCAAACAGUAACGGAGGCGCGCGAUGGUUGGCUCAGACCGGUCGGAAAUCGGUCGUUGAGUGCAAUGGCAGAAGCCAGCCUGACUGCAAGACUGACAAGUCGAGCAGAGACGAAAGUCGGUCAUAGUGAUCCGGUGGUCCCAAGUGGGAGGGCCAUCGCUCAACGGAUAAAAGGUACUCUGGGGAUAACAGGCUGAUGAUGCCCAAGAGUCCAUAUCGACGGCAUCGUUUGGCACCUCGAUGUCGGCUCAUCUCAUCCUGGGGCUGGAGCAGGUCCCAAGGGUAUGGCUGUUCGCCAUUUAAAGAGGUACGUGAGCUGGGUUUAGAACGUCGUGAGACAGUUCGGUCUCUAUCUGCCGUGGGUGCAGGAGACUUGAAGAGUUGACCCUAGUACGAGAGGACCGGGUUGAACGAACCACUGGUGGACCAGUUAUCGUGCCAACGGUAGUGCUGGGUAGCUAUGUUCGGACAGGAUAACCGCUGAAGGCAUCUAAGCGGGAAGCCCCCUUCAAAACAAGGUCUCCCUUGAGGGCCGUGGAAGACGACCACGUCGAUAGGCCAGAGGUGUAAGUGCAGCAAUGCAUUCAGCUGACUGGUACUAAUUGCCUGA
rnacentral:rRNA from 1 species